rnacentral:rRNA from 1 species
UACGAAGGGGGCUAGCGUUGUUCGGAUUUACUGGGCGUAAAGCGCACGUAGGCGGAUCGAUCAGUCAGGGGUGAAAUCCCAGAGCUCAACUCUGGAACUGCCUUUGAUACUGUCGAUCUGGAGUAUGGAAGAGGUGAGUGGAAUUCCGAGUGUAGAGGUGAAAUUCGUAGAUAUUCGGAGGAACACCAGUGGCGAAGGCGGCUCACUGGUCCAUUACUGACGCUGAGGUGCGAAAGCAUGGGGAGCAAACAGG